rnacentral:rRNA from 1 species
GACGAACGCUGGCGGCGUGCUUAACACAUGCAAGUCGAGCGGUAAGGCCCUUUCGGGGGUACACGAGCGGCGAACGGGUGAGUAACACGUGGGUGACCUGCCCUCAGCUCUGGGAUAAGCCUGGGAAACCGGGUCUAAUACUGGAUAUGACUCCAUGACGCAUGUUGUGGGGUGGAAAGCCUUGUGCGGCUGAGGAUGGGCCCGCGGCCUAUCAGCUUGUUGGUGGGGUGAUGGCCUACCAAGGCGACGACGGGUAGCCGGCCUGAGAGGGCGACCGGCCACACUGGGACUGAGACACGGCCCAGACUCCUACGGGAGGCAGCAGUGGGGAAUCUUGCGCAAGUGGGCGAAAGCCUGACGCAGCGACGCCGCGUGAGGGAUGACGGCCUGGU